rnacentral:rRNA from 1 species
UGGGGAAUUUUGGACAAUGGGCGCAAGCCUGAUCCAGCCAUGCCGCGUGUAUGAAGAAGGCCUUCGGGUUGUAAAGUACUUUUGUCAGGGAAGAAAAGCCUGAGGAUAACACCCUCAGGUCAUGACGGUACCUGAAGAAUAAGCACCGGCUAACUACGUGCCAGCAGCCGCGGUAAUACGUAGGGUGCGAGCGUUAAUCGGAAUUACUGGGCGUAAAGCGAGCGCAGACGGUUAUUUAAGCAAGAUGUGAAAGCCCCGGGCUCAACCUGGGAACUGCGUUUUGAACUGGGUAACUAGAGUGUGUCAGAGGGGGGUAGAAUUCCACGUGUAGCAGUGAAAUGCGUAGAGAUGUGGAGGAAUACCGAUGGCGAAGGCAGCCCCCUGGGAUAACACUGACGUUCAUGCUCGAAAGCGUGGGUAGCAAACAGG